GAUGAAGAACGUAGCGAAAUGCGAUAAGUAAUGUGAAUUGCAGAAUUCAGUGAAUCAUCGAAUCUUUGAACGCACAUUUCGCCCCUUGGUAUUCCGAGGGGCAUGCCUGUUCGAGCGUCAUUAUAACCCCUCAAGCUCAGCUUGGUGUUGGGGCCUGCUGCACUGGCAGCCCUUAAAAUCAGUGGCGGCGCCAUCUGGCUCUAAGCGUAGUAAUUCUUCUCGCUAUGGAGUCCUGGUGGAUGCUUGCCAUCAACCCCCAAUUUUUCUAUGGUUGACCUCGGAUCAGGUAGGGAUACCCGCUGAACUUAAGCAUAUCAAUAAGCGGAGGA
rnacentral:misc_RNA from 1 species